GGCAGAUUAGCUAGUUGGCGGGGUAAUGGCCCACCAAGGCAGUGAUCUGUAUCCGGCCUGAGAGGGCGCACGGACACACUGGAACUGAAACACGGUCCAGACUCCUACGGGAGGCAGCAGUGGGGAAUUUUGCGCAAUGGGGGAAACCCUGACGCAGCAACGCCGCGUGGAGGAUGAAGUCCUUUGGGACGUAAACUCCUUUCGACCGGGAAGAUUAUGACGGUACCGGAAGAAGAAGCCCCGGCUAACUUCGUGCCAGCAGCCGCGGUAAUACGAGGGGGGCAAGCGUUGUUCGGAAUUAUUGGGCGUAAAGGGUGCGUAGGCGGUUCGGUAAGUUUUAUGUGAAAUCUUCGGGCUCAACUCGAAGUCUGCAUGAGAAACUGCCGGGCUUGAGUGUGGGAGAGGUGAGUGGAAUUUCCGGUGUAGCGGUGAAAUGCGUAGAUAUCGGAAGGAACACCUGUGGCGAAAGCGGCUCACUGGACCACAACUGACGCUGAGGCACGAAAGCUAGGGGAGCA
rnacentral:rRNA from 1 species